rnacentral:lncRNA from 1 species
CAUCUUCUCUCUCGGUACCGACAAGAAGAGGACCAACACCACUGCAAGAGAGUUGCGCAGACUACGAGGACCUUUGCCCUGGGUUCCUCUGCCCAAGAAUGCCAUAGCUACGAGGACCUCAGCCUUCAGGUGCGCCGCAUGACCUUUGUUCAUUUCGAAAAACUCCGUUGAAAGAAAUGACGUCGCUGCAUGCACAGUGGCUGUGUCAAAAGAAGAGAUGAUAUCGUCGGGAUGCGUCGCACUGUAGUCGAUUGGAUCUCGU